rnacentral:lncRNA from 1 species
AUGAAAGAUACUGACAUCAAAAAACUACUUUAUACCCAUAUUUUAUGCAUAUUUUCAAUUAUCCUAAGUGUCUUCAUUCCAUCAUUCUUCUUGGAGAACUUCUCAAUAUUGUAAACACACUUGACAUGGUUGUGCAUAUGUUCUGGUUUUGUAGCUGCUGUCAAUCUAGUAUUAUAUUUAGUAGUGAAACCAAAUGCAUCCCCUAAAAAAGUUCAUUAUCACACAAGGUAACUUGAUUUUUGAAAUGCUGUAUCUACCUUCUUUUGUCCUGUUUCUCCUUCCAUGUAAUUUUUGUUCUAUAUGGAGCUAAAAGAGUUGGUGUUGGAAACAUUUUUAUUUGCAGUCAUUUUGUCUACUUUUACCACUGUACCUUAUGUUUGUUAGAACCAAAUCUCAAAAGCAUAGCUUAGAGUUUUCAGUAGAAAUGGUGUUACAGCCAUUUGGGAGAAUAGUCUCCAGAUCAUUACAAUUUCUAGUUUUGUAGGAGCAUAACUUGAAGCACUGCCAAUACCACUGAGUGGAGAAAGACUAUGGCAGGUAUGGCCCAUCUCCUAUAUGCUUGGAGUGACCUUUAGCAACAUGGAUGGACUUGUUAUUUUACCAUUCUGGAUAUACUGGAAUAUAAAGCAAUUUCUAUACAAGAACAAUUAA